rnacentral:lncRNA from 1 species
UUCUCUAUGGAUCGCGGCUAGGUCACCACGGCAGUUUUUUGUCGCUGCGACCACCUCGUACCCUUUGCGAUGUGCCCGAAAAACCGAGUGCGCUCUCUUCUUUGUCACUAGUGGCCUGCGGCUCUGACAGCCGGGUCAACGAACAUUGAUUUUCCCCCGAGAAACCACGCAGCUGCCUCAAGCCAAUGGCGACAUCUUCGCGCUGUGAGCAAAAGAGAAACAACCGGUGGUGGUCCUUUCCAAGGUUUAUUACACCGUCUUCUGUGAAGUCCGUUGUGACCAGAGCCCAGUUAUCGGCUCGAGCUCCUUCGACAAAGCAGGUUCUUUGUGGAGCUAAAUCAACCACGAGUUAUUCCACAUCUACGAUAUACGAACAAAUUCGUUGUGAGAAGUGGCUCUUCUGGCUUUAGCGCAAGCGACGCCGGGAGCUACCAGACAAACUGGACCAGCACGGUCGUGAACCCUCAACAUGUCAUCUUGCUCGACAUAUGUAGCACCAACAAAUGAAUGGGUGUGAUAAAAUGCCAUUGCUCGA